rnacentral:rRNA from 1 species
AAUCCCUUAACGAGGAUCCAUUAGAGGGCAAGUCUGGUGCCAGCAGCCGCGGUAAUUCCAGCUCCAAUAGUGUAUAUUUAAGUUGCUGCAGUUAAAAAGCUCGUAGGUUGAUCUUGGGUCGUAAAGGUCGGUCCGCCUACUCGGUGUGCACCUGCCCUUCCGUCCCUUUUGUCGGCGGCGUGCUCCUAACCUUAAUUGGCUAGGUCACGGCUCCGGCGCUGUUACUUUGAAAAAAUUAGAGUGCUCAAAGCAAGCUUAUGCUCUGAAUACAUUAGCAUGGAAUAACGUGAUAGGAGUCUGGUCCUAUUGUGUUGGCCUUUGGGACUGGAGUAAUGAUUAAUAGGGACUAACGGGGGCAUUCGUAUUUCAUUGUUAGAGGUGAAAUUCUUGGAUUUAUGAAAGACAGACCACUGCGAAAGCAUUUGCCAAGGAUGUUUUCAUAAUCAAGAACGAAAGUUGGGGGCUCGAAGACGAUCAGAUACCGUCCUAGUCUCAACCAUAAACGAUGCCGACCAGGGAUCAGUGGAUGUUGCUAUAAGGACUCCGCCAGCACCUUCUGAGUUAUCAGAGUGUUUGGGUUCCGGGGGGAGUAUGGUCGCAAGGCUGAAACUUAAAGGAAUUGAUGGAAGGGCACCACCAGGAGUGGAUUUUGUGGCUUAAUUUGACUCAACACGGGGAAACUUACCAAGUGCAGACAUAGUAAGGAUUGACAAAUUGAGAGCUCUUUCUUGAUUCUAUGGGUAGUGGUGCAUGGCCGUUCUUAGUUGGUGGAGCGAUUUGUCUGGUUAAUUCUGAUAACGAACGAGACCUUAACUUGCUAACUAGCUACAUGGAGGUUCCCCUUCACGGCCAGCUUCUUAGAGGGACUAUGGCCGUUUAGGCCAUGGAAGUUUGAGGCAAUAAUAGGUCUGUGAUGCCCUUAGAUGUUCUGGGCCACACACGCGCUACACUGAUGCAACAAAUGAGCUUUUCUUCCUGGUUCGAGAGGAUCGGGAAAUCUUCUCAAAUUGCAUCGUGAUGGGGAUAGACCAUUGCAAUUAUUGGUAUUCAACGAGGAAUUCCUAGUAAGCGCGUGACUUCAACUCGUGUUGACUACGUCCCUGCCCUUUGUACACACCGCCUGUCGCUCCUACCGAUUGAAUGAUCUGGUGAGGUGUUUGGAUUGCGUCGACGAUGGUGGUUCGCCGCCAUCGACGUCAUGAGAAGUUCAUCGAACCUUAUCAUUUAGAGGAAGGAGAAGUCGUAACAAGGUUACUGUAGGUGAACUUGCGGUAG